rnacentral:lncRNA from 1 species
UUUUAUAUCUUUGGGGGUGAUGAGAGAAAUGGAUAACAAGUUCAUUAAACCAUUGAAAUCAGAGGGUUGAAAAUCAAACUCAAAGACAAGAAAACCGGGUUAUGAAGAACUGAAAAUCAUGAGUAUGGUGAGUUGAAGAUGAUUUUUCAAGUAUAAAAAUAUGAAAAAGGAACAAAAUCCUAACAUCAUAUUCUAAACUAUACUAUGGCUUGGCUUCAUCCUUAAUCCAACUUCAAUGUUGUUUUGACCAUGCUCUGUGAUUUGCAGGUCCAUUACCCCUUUGGUCUUGAACCUCUCAAACAUAAAACCCAUCGGCAAGAAACUGUAAUGGUGAACUCUAAACUAAUUCCACCUGUGCCCUUCCCUGGAGUCAAGAAAAAAUUAAAUGUAAUAUCCCAA